GGGCCUAUAGCUCAGUCGGUUAGAGCAACUGACUCAUAAUCAGUAGGUCCCUGGUUCGAGCCCAGGUGGGCCCA
rnacentral:tRNA from 2 species